GGGGGGGAGCGUUCCAUGUGGGGUGAAGCGUUAGCGUAAGCGGGCGUGGACUGCAUGGAAGUGAGAAUGUCGGCUUGAGUAGCGAAAACAUGGGUGAGAAUCCCAUGCCCCGAAACCCUAAGGGUUCCUCCGGCAGGCUCGUCCGCGGAGGGUUAGUCAGGACCUAAGGCGAGGCCGAAAGGCGUAGUCGAUGGACAACAGGUCAACAUUCCUGUACCUGUGAUGUUUUGGGAAGGGGGACGGAGAAGGCUAGCCAAGCCAGAUGUUGGUUACUGGUCCAAGCGUUCGAGGCGUUGAGAACCGGCGAAACGGUUUGAGCUGAGGCGUGAGUGCGAGCUGCUACGGCAGCGAAGUUGGUGACGUCAAGCUUCCAAGAAAAGCCCUAUACCCGUUAAGGCAUCAUGGCCUGUACCCGAAACCGACACAGGUGGGGUGGUAGAGAAUACCGAGGGGCGCGAGGUAACUCUCUCUAAGGAACUCGGCAAAAUGGCCCCGUAACUUCGGGAGAAGGGGUGCCACCGCAAGGUGGUCGCAGUGAAGAGGCCCAGGCGACUGUUUACCAAAAACACAGGUCUCCGCUAAGUCGCAAGACGAUGUAUGGGGGCUGACGCCUGUCCAGUGCCGGAAGGUUAAGGAAGCUGGUCAGCGCAAGCGAAGCUGGCGACUGAAGCCCCGGUGAACGGCGGCCGUAACUAUAACGGUCCUAAGGUAGCGAAAUUCCUUGUCGGGUAAGUUCCGACCCGCACGAAAGGCGUAACGAUCUGGGCGCUGUCUCGGAGAGAGGCUCGGCGAAAUAGAAUUGUCUGUGAAGAUGCGGACUACGUGCACCCGGACAGAAAGACCCUAUGAAGCUUUACUGUAGCUUGGUAUUGUGCCCGGGCUCUGAAUGCGCAGGAUAGGUGGGAGGCUUUGAUCAUCGGCUUGCGGGUCGAUGUGAGCCAACGGUGAGAUACCACUCUUUCAGAGCUAGGGUUCUAACAGUCACCCGUUAUCCGGGGACUGGACAGUAUCAGGUGGGCAGUUUGACUGGGGCGGUCGCCUCCUAAAAGGUAACGGAGGCGCGCAAAGGUCUGCUCAGGCUGGUUGGAAAUCAGCCGACGAGUGUAAAAGCAGAAGCAGGCUUGACUGUGAGACCUACAAGUCGAACAGGGAGGAAACUCGGCUUUAGUGAUCCGACGGUUCUGCGUGGAAGGGCCGUCGCUCAACGGAUAAAAGUUACUCUAAGGAUAACAGGCUGAUCUCCCCCAAGAGUUCACAUCGACGGGGAGGUUUGGCACCUCGAUGUCGGCUCAUCGCAACCUGGGGCUGAAGUCGGUCCCAAGGGUUGGGCUGUUCGCCCAUUAAAGCGGUACGCGAGCUGGGUUCAGAACGUCGUGAGACAGUUCGGUCCAUAUCCGGUGCAUGCGCAGGAAUAUUGAGAGGAGUUCUCCCUAGUACGAGAGGACCGGGAGGAACGCACCUCUGGUGUACCAGUUAUCGUGCCAACGGUAAACGCUGGGUAGCCAUGUGCGGAGAGGAUAACCGCUGAAAGCAUCUAAGUGGGAAGCCCACCUCAAGAUGAGUAUUCCCAUGGCGUUAGCCAGUAAGGUCACGGGAAGAACACCCGUUGAUAGGCUCUAUGUGGAAGCGCAGUAAUGCGUGAAGCAGAGGAGUACUAAUAGACCGAGGGCUUGACCAA
rnacentral:rRNA from 1 species